AACUUAUCAGUAAAGCUGGUCGAUCUUUGCAACGUGAUCUGGAGUAAAUUACGGUGGCUUGCAUUUGCGAGUUUUAAACUUUUUAUUCUCGUGUAUAUUGAGUUUUGAAGUUCUCUUUCUAAGGGAAAAAACCUUAACAUAUAUUAUGGGUCAUCAGAAUAUUUGGUUUUUCUCACCCUCGAAAAUUAAUUUGGCCCCGGAUCUCGAUAUUGUCGAGUGUGUGCCAAUCACCAUGGUAUCAUCAGAAAGUAUGGAUUAAAUAUGUGCAGGCGGUGUUUCAGGCAGUAUGCUGGUGAUAUAGGAUUUAAGAAGCUGGAUUAAAUCAUAAGAUCAUACCCAAGAUAUGAAGUUUAUGAUCAAGAUGCAAACUUUAAAGAAUUGAAAUCUUGUAUAAAAGCAUAUUGAUAAUAAAUGAUAUACUUGGGUGUU